rnacentral:rRNA from 1 species
AUUGAACGCUGGCGGCAGGCCUAACACAUGCCCGUUGCGCGGAUGACGGGAGGUUGUUCUUGGAUUCAGCGGCGGACGGGUGUUUAAUGACUAGUAAUCUGCCUGGCAGUGGGGGUUAACGUCAGGAAAAGGGCCCUAAUACAGCACACGUCCUGUGGGCGAAAGCUGGGGACCUUCGGCCCUGACGCUGUCGGGUGAGCCUAGGUCGGAUUCCCUAGUUGGUGGGGUAAAGGCCUACCCAGGCGACGGUCCGUAACUGGUCUGUUAGGAUGAUCAGUCACACUGGAACUGAGACACGGUCCACACUCCUACGGGAGGCAGCAGUGGGGAAUAUUGGACAAUGGGCGAAAGCCGGAUCCAGCCAUGCCGCGCGUGUGAAGAAGGUCUUCGGAUUGUAAUGCUCGGUAAGUUGGGAGUAAGGGCAGUAAAUUAAGACCUUGCUGGUUGGACGGUACCAACAGAAUAUGCGCCGGCUAACUUCGUG